AUGAACGCUGGCGGCGUGCUUAACACAUGCAAGUCGAACGAAGCACUCUAUUUGAUUUCCUUCGGGACUGAUUAUUUUGUGACUGAGUGGCGGACGGGUGAGUAACGCGUGGGUAACCUGCCUUGUACAGGGGGAUAACAGUUGGAAACGGCUGCUAAUACCGCAUAAGCGCACAGCAUCGCAUGAUGCAGUGUGAAAAACUCCGGUGGUAUAAGAUGGACCCGCGUUGGAUUAGCUAGUUGGUGAGGUAACGGCCCACCAAGGCGACGAUCCAUAGCCGACCUGAGAGUGUGACCGGCCACAUUGGGACUGAGACACGGCCCAAACUCCUACGGGAGGCAGCAGUGGGGAAUAUUGCACAAUGGGCGAAAGCCUGAUGCAGCGACGCCGCGUGAGCGAAGAAGUAUUUCGGUAUGUAAAGCUCUAUCAGCAGGGAAGAUAAUGACGGUACCUGACUAAGAAGCACCGGCUAAAUACGUG
rnacentral:rRNA from 1 species